AGCCCAUCUAAUCUCUGCCCAAAGGUAUAGCCUGUCAGCAUUCAAAUGACAAUUCAUAUAGCCUGAUUUUCUGUAUAGAAUACUUCAAUAAUAAGAUAGAAGCAACAUUUGUGUGUGUGUGUAUCUGCUGAGAGUGCAGAAGAAAAUCGCAUGUUUCAUGAAAAGACACUGGAAAAUGAAAGAUGGAAGAUAAACCCACACAGAAUAACUGAAUACAAAUAUUAAUAUAAUGCAUAAUCAAAAGUCAUACAUUUGGGAGCUGGUUUAGUGUUCAUAGAAUCUGCUUAACAUAAGACAUAUCCCAAUAUCUCACACCAGGACCAUGUUGAUGGAAACAUCACUGUUUCAGCAGCUGGUGGUUUCAAAGCAAACUUAUACGGUGAACAGAAAGCAAGAGGAUGUCUACAAAGAUUCUUUUCAAGUCAGAACUGGGGCCCAGGAGACAUUAUUGUGUUUCCUGCGAUAAUUAAAUGAGCUGCAUGAGGUCCUACUGAUGAUGUCAUGCUCAUGAUGUUGUUUGGCUUGUUGAAUUUCUGUAUGCUUGAUGCUUGUGAUGCAAGAUCUGAUACACAGCUGAGACAAGAAUGAUGACAGUUUGAAUAAACUUAAGACUCCAAAUUACAGUGAUAAAAAAUAGAGCAUAGAGCAAGAUAAAGCUGAGAAAAAUUAGCAUAUAAAAUGUUGAAAAUGAUUUAACAUAUAAUAUUUACAUUAACGUCAUAAUCUAGGGUUAGGGUUAUAUUACAUCAUGGGAAUGUAUGAAGGAUACAGUGCAAAGCUCAUCACACCUACAACACAAACAUGAUAUCACAAAUCUUUUUCUUGUAGUUGAAAUUAACAAAUCUGGUAGAGCAUCGGUGUCGAUGAUAAAAGUUGUGAGUGCAGUCAUGAGAUGUUUGAGACAAUUUGUUAUUAUUAAAGUUUUGAAUGUUUAGGAUGCUUUAUGACUUAAGAUGAUGUUUCAAAACCAUGCCUGUACACAUUUUAAAGUCACGCAAGUCACA
ensembl:lncRNA